rnacentral:rRNA from 1 species
AUCGAACGCUGGCGGCAGGCCUAAUACAUGCAAGUCGAACGAGCGGCGGACGGGCGAGUAAUCGCUGAGCAACUGCCUGAUGGAGGGGGAUAAAUACUGGAAAAGGUAGAUAAUACCGCAUACCAUCAGCUGUGCCCAAACGGGAUUAGCUUGCUGGUGGGGUAACGGGUCACCAAGGCGACGAUCCCUAGCUGGUCUGAGAGGAUGACCAGCCACACUGGAACUGAGACACGGUCCAGACUCCUACGGGAGGCAGCGGUAGGGAAUAUUACGCAAUGGGCGCAAGUCUGAUGCAGCCAUGCCGCGUGAAGGAAGAAGGCCUUCGGGUUGUAAAGUACUUUCAGCAGAGAGGUGUUACCCGCAGAAGAAGCACCGGCUAACUCCGUGCCAGCAGCCGCGGUAAUUC